CAGGGUUAGUUCUUUUUCUGAUCUCUUGUAUACUUUAAAACCCAGAGAUAAAACAUUACGUGUUAAAAGCAUACUUACCUGUGAAUUUUUGGUAAUUUAGUUUAUAGAAAGGAUCCCUAGAUCUUUUAUUAAGCCUUGACUCACAUAUUUAGCAUUAUAUAAAGUAUUAGGAGCAUAUAUGCAUUGUUGCUUAAUUUAACUUUUCUCUAUGAGUAACUGGCAUGUUACGAGGCAGCCUAAACAUGUUUUAAGUUGCAUUAGUUCUCUCGUUCUAUUUCAUUAUUCAGUGAGCAACUUGAGUAGUUUCAUGUUGGAUUUCCUUGUGUCUUUAUUUAACAGAUGACUUGCAUAUAAUUUCCUUUUCCUGAAAAUAGUAGUUAGGGAAAUAAGAGCUUAAAUAUGCCUGGCAAUGGGAAAACAUAUGUAAAUCUAGCCUGGGGGAGGGGGCGUGUUCUAUUUAAGAAUACACCAAUGACUGGGGAAUAUUUUCAGUUUUCUCUCAAAUAUUUGCUAUUAGGUGAGAGUAACCACUCAGUCCGAUUCUUCUGGAAUGUAAUCAUUCUCUCAGUUUGUUGAAUGCUCAGUGGGUGUGGCACUCGCCCAGGUCAUUAGACUCUUUGCUGCUUCAUCGAAUGCCCUGGGCCCUCAGCCCCGGAAGAGAGAAUGCAGCUUCUCCACAUGCCUUAUUCCCCCUGAGGCAUCGACAUGCUGGAACAGUCUGACUCCAAGUACUAAUACAGUUUUUUUGAGACUGUCUACAAAAUACUAUUUUGUUAAAACUAUGCCUUUAAAUAGACACUGAUGGGUUAUAUUUGUUUUAUAAAAAGUUGUAUACCUAAUGUUCAACUGUGGUUGAUUUUGAGAUUAUAUAUAAAUGUAUAUUUAUAAGCCUGUCUUAUGUGGAUUUUUACUCUAAGAAGUGUGGCGCAUUACUAAUAAAGAUAUGGGUUUCUGUUUCUGUAAAGUCAUUGUAGCAACACUCCUAACUGCUACCUGAACGAUGAUUCCACUCACUGGCCACCAUACAUACUUUUAUCUAUAGAAUAUUAAGUUAUACUCAGAAUGUAUUAACCAGGAUGAAACUUUAAGAACGGAAACUCUCAACAUAAUUUGAAAUUCUUCCUGUUGAUGUAAUUAAAACUAGUUUAUAAUUCCUUA
rnacentral:lncRNA from 1 species